rnacentral:rRNA from 1 species
UACGAAGGGGGCUAGCGUUGCUCGGAAUCACUGGGCGUAAAGCGCACGUAGGCGGCUUUCUAAGUCAGGGGUGAAAUCCUGGAGCUCAACUCCAGAACUGCCUUUGAUACUGGAGUGCUUGAGUCCGGGAGAGGUGAGUGGAACUCCGAGUGUAGAGGUGAAAUUCGUAGAUAUUCGGAAGAACACCAGUGGCGAAAGGCGGCUCACUGGCCCGGUACUGACGCUGGAUGUGCGAAAGCGUGGGGAGCAAACAGGG